rnacentral:rRNA from 1 species
UGGGGAAUAUUGCACAAUGGGGGAAACCCUGAUGCAGCGACGCCGCGUGAAGGAAGAAGUAUUUCGGUACGUAAACUUCUAUCAGCAGGGAAGAAAGUGACGGUACCUGACUAAGAAGCCCCGGCUAACUACGUGCCAGCAGCCGCGGUAAUACGUAGGGGGCAGGCGUUAUCCGGAUUUACUGGGUGUAAAGGGAGCGUAGACGGCAAGGCAAGUCUGAUGUGAAAGGCGGGGGCUCAACUCCUGGACUGCAUUGGAAACUGUCAAGCUAGAGUGUCGGAGGGGUAAGCGGAAUUCCUGGUGUAGCGGUGAAAUGCGCAGAUAUCAGGAGGAACACCGGUGGCGAAGGCGGCUUACUGGACGGCAACUGACGUUGAGGCUCGAAAGCGUGGGGAGCAAACA